AGUCCUGUAUGGGACUGUGACACCCGUCACCACACUGAUCUCCAGCCUUGAGUCAGCUGAUCUGGCUGGCUAUGCACAUGUCCCCUUCCUCACCCAGCGCUCCAUAUGCUCCAUAUCCCUCCCAAAGCUGCUGGGGCACAGAGGGCAACCUCCCUGAUACAGACUGUACAUUUUAUCACUCAAGGCUAUUGGGCUGCUGCGCUCCCUGCCGCAACCUUCAAACCUGCCCAUGGUACUAGGGCUGCAUUU
rnacentral:sRNA from 1 species